UUUUUUUUUUUUCUCGGUGAGUGACAGCUCGCAACACUGGCCCCACUGUGUAUAUGAUACAGGGCUGAAGCAGAGCUCCUUUUCUAGGAAGGGCUCAUUCUGUGUUAACAGCACAGGUGCCCCAUCGGAGAGCUGACCUCCCUCAUCUGGAUGCACAGAGCCUUCUGGAAGCCACUGGGUAGGACAGAAACAACACACCAAAGAGUAUUAACCAAGCGCCCGAAGUGUGUCAGGCACUGGGAAGAGCAGUGAAGACACUGAUACAGCAUUUACACAUCACAAGAGAAACAAAGUACUUUCAGAUUGUGAUAACCCAGGAAGUACACAGGAUGUGGAGUGACCUCAGAGGGAGGUGGGGAGUUACUUCCGCUGAGAUCUGAAGGAGAGCAGGGGGAGAAGGUCUGCAAACUGGUGUGCUGGAGGAACGGGACAGAAGCCAAGGUGGCUACCACAGAGAAACAAGAGGUAGACGGAAGGGCAGACAAGGGCUAGACCACACAGACACCGGUAUGGAUUUGGGCUUUAAAAAUGCUAAAGAUAAUGGCACUCAGCAGACCGGACGCUUCAGUACCCGACCAUUACCUAUGAUGUUGUGCCGACAGUGGGGGCAGGUGUGGUGCUGCAGCAGCCACGGGUCCACGCACUUCUUGUGGAACCGGGCCUGCACAGCCAGCCUGUUCAUGGAAUUCUGCAAGGCAGAAUGUGGCCGGUAUCAGGGUCUGGUUGUCACCCUCACGGACAUGGCACUAUGUGUACUGGGACAGCAAACACCAAUUUCUAUCAGGCCAGAAGAGACUUUUGAAAAAAUCAUGAAACAUUCAGACUGCCACAAGCACACUGGCAAAGGUCAGCUUCAACAACCAGCCCUGCUGCCCCCCAAUUCUGUAAGACCCUGAGUUAUUCACCAAAUGUAUGUCAAGGGUUCCUCCUCUUUACGCUGAAGGAAGUUGUGAGGAUACAUGAGAUAAUGCGUGUGAGUGCUUUGUUGCCAUUAGCUGUCGCUGGGUCAAAGUGUUGGGAUUCAUAAGGUUCACACUGGCUGAUUUUCACAAGUAGGUCACCAGGCUUUUCUUCCUCGUCUGUCUUGGCCUGGAAGCCCCACUGAAAGCUGCUCAAUAUCAUAGCAACACAUAAGCCUCCACCGACAGACGGAUGGUGGCUGUGCUUGAAAAGUGCUGGCUGGAAACGAAACCCGGGUCUACUGCACGGAAGGUGAGUAUGAGUGCUUAGCUCCUGGCAGAUGGGUUGCUCUCAAUGCCAGGCACUGUCCUGUUAGUGGCCACUUGACCCUCGUGGGAGCCCAGAGAGUCUCCUUUCCUGGGACUGCCUGCCACGUCCACCAUCUCUCUCCUGAGACACCACACUGCUACCCGUUUGAGACUCAAGCUUCCUGCUUAUCCGCUCACCACCCCAUCCCCAAAGCUUUCCUUCCUACCAGCACAUAAGCACGUGCCCGCUGGAGCACGAAAGGCGCUGCUCUGUUCCUCAAGAAGCACCUGGGCAGCUUGAUAAAUGCAGAUUCCAACUCAGUUGAUCCGGGCCUGAGACUCUGCAUUUCUAUCAUGCUCCCAGGUGAUGCUGAAGCAACAGCGCUCUGGGGCUCCACAUUCACAGGUAGGCAUUUCUUUGGACAAACUCUCUGGCUGGAAACACCCCUGGUACUUAACGCUUCUAGGAAAACCCCUUCUAGAGCACAGGAGGCAUGGUGCUGAAAGCUCUGCUCUUAUUUUUCUCCAUCUUGGCUGUUUUUAGGCCCUAGGAACAGGCUCUGGAACCCAGCACCCAUGGCCGUCAGGCUCAAAUACAGAGCCAUCAAAUACUAGGCAGACGGGAGUCCCGCUUUCACCAGCAACGGGGCCAUAGGAAGCAGCCUUCACAGGCUGUGCUGAGAUGUUACCUGACUGCGCCGCUGCUUCAGCUUAAUUUUGACAAGAAGGAUCAGGCAAA